rnacentral:rRNA from 1 species
UGCCAGCCGCCGCGGUAAUACGUAGGGUGCAAGCGUUAAUCGGAAUUACUGGGCGUAAAGCGCGCGUAGGCGGUUUUGUAAGUCGGAUGUGAAAGCCCAGGGCUCAACCCUGGAAUUGCAUUCGAUACUGCAUAACUAGAGUAUGGUAGAGGGAAGUGGAAUUUCCGGUGUAGCGGUGAAAUGCGUAGAUAUCGGAAGGAACACCAGUGGCGAAGGCGACUUCCUGGGCCAAUACUGACGCUGAGGAACGAAAGCCAGGGGAGCGAAUGGGAUUAGAUA